UCAUUAUCAACCCUCAAGCCUGGCUUGUUGUUGGACCUUCGCCGUCACAGACGGGUCCCAAAGACAACGACGGAGUUGUCGGACCCUAGAUGCAACGAGCUUUCAAUAGCACGCAUUGAAGGGUCCGAUGGCUCUGGUCUCAACCAUCUAUUUGAUAUAAGGUUGACCUCGGAUCAGGUAGGAAUACCCGCUGAACUUAA
rnacentral:misc_RNA from 1 species